rnacentral:rRNA from 1 species
GACGUAGGGCGCGAGCGUUGUCCGGAUUUAUUGGGCGUAAAGAGCUCGUAGGCGGCUUGUCGCGUCGACCGUGAAAACUUGGGGCUCAACCCCAAGCCUGCGGUCGAUACGGGCAGGCUCGAGUUCGGUAGGGGAGACUGGAAUUCCUGGUGUAGCGGUGAAAUGCGUAGAUAUCAGGAGGAAUACCUAUGGCGAAAGCAGGUAUCUGGGCCAUCACUGACGCUGAGCUGCGAAAGCUAGGGGAGCAAACAGG